AUUGAACGCUGGCGGCAGGCCUAACACAUGCAAGUCGAGCGGCUGCAGAGAACUUGCUCCUUCAUUCAGCUGCGGACGGGUGAGUAAUUCCUAGAAAUCUGCCUGUUUGUUUUUUCUUACGUGCUGAAACGGGGCCAAUUACGCUAAUACCCCAUACGACCUACGGGUGGAAGCUCGGGAUCUUCGGCCCUUGCUCGAUCUAAUGCGGCGAGGUCGGAUUAGCUAGUUGGCGGGGUAAAGGGCCACCAAGGCGACGAUCCGUAGCUGGUCUGAGAGGAUGAUCAGUCACACUGGAACUGAGACACGGUCCAGACUCCUACGGGAGGCAGCAGUGGGGAAUAUUGGACAAUGGGCGAAAGCCUGAUCCAGCCAUGCCGCGUGGGUGAAGAAGGUCUUCGGAUUGUAAAGCACUUUAGGUGGGGAGGAAGAGCAGUAAGUUAAUACCUUGCUGUUUUGACGUUACCAAAAGAAUAAGCACCGGCUAACUUCGUG
rnacentral:rRNA from 1 species